UACGGGGGGGGCAAGCGUUGUUCGGAAUUACUGGGCGUAAAGGGCUCGUAGGCGGCCAACUAAGUCAGACGUGAAAUCCCUCGGCUUAACCGGGGAGCUGCGUCUGAUACUGGAUGGCUUGAAUCCGGGAGAGGGAUGCGGAAUUCCAGGUGUAGCGGUGAAAUGCGUAGAUAUCUGGAGGAACACCGGUGGCGAAGGCGGCAUCCUGGACCGGCAUUGACGCUGAGGAGCGAAAGCCAGGGGAGCAAACGGG
rnacentral:rRNA from 1 species